rnacentral:rRNA from 1 species
UACGAAGGUCCCAAGCGUUGUUCGGAAUCACUGGGCGUAGAGGGAGCGUAGGCGGCGUGGUAAGUCAGAUGUGAAAUCCCGGGGCUCAACCCCGGAACUGCAUCCGAUACUGCCAUGCUAGAGGAUUGGAGAGGUAGCUGGAAUUCUUGGUGUAGCAGUGAAAUGCGUAGAGAUCAAGAGGAACACUCGUGGCGAAAGCGAGCUACUGGACAAUUCCUGACGCUGAGGCUCGAAGGCUAGGGUAGCGAAAGGG